UACGUAGGGGCCAAGCGUUGUUCGGAUUUACUGGGCGUAAAGGGCGCGUAGGCGGCAUGACAAGUCACUUGUGAAAUCUCCGGGCUUAACUCGGAACGGCCAAGUGAUACUGUCACGCUAGAGUGCAGAAAGGGCAAUCGGAAUUCUUGGUGUAGCGGUGAAAUGCGCAGAUAUCAGGAGGAACACCAAUGGCGAAGGCAGCUCGCUGGGACGUGACUGACGCUGAGACGCGAAAGCGUGGGGAGCAAACAGG
rnacentral:rRNA from 1 species